UACGGAGGGUGCAAGCGUUGUCCGGAAUCACUAGGCGUAAAGGGCGCGUAGGCGGCUCAUGAAGGCUGUGGUGAAAGUCCGGGGCUCAACCUCGGAUCGGCCGUGGCGACUCGUGGGCUGGAGCACUGUAGAGGCGGGUGGAAUUCCGGGUGUAGCGGUGGAAUGCGUAGAGAUCCGGAAGAACACCAGUGGCGAAGGCGGCCCGCUGGGCAGUGGCUGACGCUGAGGCGCGACAGCGUGGGGAGCAAACAGG
rnacentral:rRNA from 1 species